rnacentral:rRNA from 1 species
UACAGAGGGGGCAAGCGUUAUUCGGAAUUAUUGGGCGUAAAGGGCGCGUAGGCGGCUUUGCAAGUGACGGGUGAAAUCCCCGGGCUCAACCUGGGAACUGCGCUUGUGACUGCAAGGCUAGAGUACGGCAGAGGGGGGUGGAAUUCCACGUGUAGCAGUGAAAUGCGUAGAGAUGUGGAGGAACACCAAUGGCGAAGGCAGCCCCCUGGGUCGAUACUGACGCUCAUGCACGAAAGCGUGGGUAGCAAACAGG